UCUGUCAGGGCGAAUUUAAUCUGGAUAGAGCUGAAGACCGAUCAGAGCUUGCGAGGAAACAGGUCACCCGAAUCCAGAAAUCUCGGUUCAGUUAGUUCAGUCACACCCACGAUGAAAAACUCAGCAAAACUUGUAGAGAUUUCAAACAUCCAGAGUGACUGGAUGUUUGCGGGCACAACGUUGGGUCGAUGCAGAUUCCGGAUGCCAUUUUCGGGUCGAACAAAUUAAGAACUGAACAACAAAUCAUAUAAAGAAUAAUCAAUAAAUAAUAUUAUUUAAAACAUACUUUCUCUCUUAUACAGGCAAAAGAGAGAGAUAACCAUGACUGCAGAGAUCACCACUACUACUAGUCUAACCAACCAACUAAACUGAACGAAACAAACAGACGCGACUCGCCGCAAUUCAGAUUGCAGGACCCCAUCUCCCAAGAAGCCAGGCACCCGUCACUGUCCUCAGCGCAACGACGCAUCAGUGAGCGAGGAAGGCGAGGAGCGAGACGACGGCGGCCACGGCCCACGCCCCGGGCGCGACGGCGCCUGCCGCGCCGUGCACCGCCGCCGGUGCAGGCGCGGGGGCGAGCGAGGGGGCGAGGCUGCCGAGGAAGAACUCAUCCUCCCGCUCCACGAUCCUGCCCGCCGCCGACGCAACGAGCGCCACGAGCACCACCGCGGCCAGGAGAGCGACGGACAGCUUGGCGGAGACGGCGGCCAUUGGGACGAGACGGUGGGAGGAUCUGGUCGCAGAGAAAGAGAAGCAAGCAAAGCAAAGCAAGAAAGCAGCAGACGGUGGCUGUGCUUGGCUUGGCUUCUCAAACCCUGCGGUGGUGGACUGGAUGGAUCGUGGGAGAGAUGUUUGUGUGGGGAAGCGCCGAGGUGGUUCGGGGGAUUUUAUAGCGGGCCGGGGACGGGGGGAAAUGUAGCCGUUGGGGGUCGCGGGAGGCGGCGAGGCCUUCGAAAACGUUCGGAUCUGGCUGACCGGGCUCGGGGACGGGUGGCCUCUCGUCGUCUUUCGGUGGAGUAGCCGUUAAAAGUUAUAAAGUUGGUGGUCAGCACUCAGCAGCUAGCCGUUGAGGAGCUGGGACCGUCGGGCGUGCCGGCGGAGGGAAUCCUAUGGAGGACAGACGCGGCACGGGCGAGGUCGAGGUGGUGUUCGGGACGGGCAUCAUGGCGACGUGUGGUUCUGCUCGAGUGUGUCGCACGGUCACGCGAGAGCGUGGGUUUGAUUUUCGAACCCGGUUCCCUCCCUCCAUCCCGCGCUGCGCCCGCACGCCAUGACGCCUAUGAUGUUCAGUGUACAGUGUAAUUAUCUUCGUAUUGGUUGUAUAUAUAUCCCUUUAAUUUUGUUUUGGUUGUAUACAUAUAUACAUUUACUAGAAAAAACACCAUAUGUUGCGAGGGGGGAAAUAUAACACUAGGAAGCUUAACAAGCGUGGACCAAACCACGUGGACAAUAUCAAGGAAGUCAAGCGGGGAAAGCCAAGCUGGCCUCCACAGCGACACCACGCUGGAAAAACGAACGGAUAGGGUUAGCCUCAAUGAUCCGUAUGGAGGAAGUGUAUGGUUUCUCCCCGAGUAAAAAAAAACGGAAUUAAGCGAUGGGGAGCGGGGCUGUUGGACAUUGGUCGGGAAUGAUAGCUGAAGACGGUGUUUACUCGGGAGAGAGAAGCAUCUUUUUCGAAAAAGGAUGUUUUAUUACUUAAAAGAUUUAAGUAUUACACCCGACCUCUGUAUAACUAAGAUGCAUACAGUCAAUAAAAUCCUCGUGACAAGCCAAAAUAUAAGAAGAGAGCGAAAUACAAAGAAAAUAUAUCCAUAAUGCCUAAAUCCUACGUGGUCCAAUCCUAAGAUCAUGCUGCCAUCCAUGUUAGAUAAAAGUAUCCCUCGGGUAGCCUUCAAUCGUGUACACACAUUCGUAAUUAGGUCUUGAUUCUUCACUCGUUGUAGAGAACCAUAAAUGAAGCGCGCCGAUACAUCUAUAGAUAACCUGCAUAAGAGAAGUACUUUUAUCGUUAAAAAACAAUUAUUUCUAUAUAGCCAAAGCGAUCAAAUCACGACAAGCACUCCCACCCUGAGAAAAAUUCUAAACCUGUGAUCAAUCUCAUGUAACCACUUGCCAAAUAUAUUGACAACACUACAAGGAGGAUACAAGCCACAAGUUAUGUGGAUAACUGACCAUAUAGAACGAGCCAAUUUAUAUUGAAAGAACAAGUGUUUUAUUGUCUCGUCAUGCCGACAAAAAACGUAUUGCGUACUUCCAUGCCAAUUUCUAUUAAUAAGGUUAUCUUUACUAAGAAUGACUCUGCGACAAAGAUAUCAGGCAACUAUUUUAUUCUUAAGAUGUAUUUACAUCUUUAAGAUCUUAUUAUUAUCAACUCGCGUGUCACACUAGAUCAAAUCCUUAUACAUAGACUCUACUGAGAAUUGCUCAUUCCCAUAUAGGUUCCAACGAAAGACAUCGGACCCUUAUGACAAUUGUACCGUGGUAAACCGUUGGAGUAGUGUGCUCCACGAUUGGAGUCUAGCUCCAAUUUGAACAUAACAUUUGGCGAAAAUGAUUUCAAAACCUUGAUAAUAGUAUCACCCUUGUGACGCACAAUAUUGUAUGGAGGUGGAUAUUGUUUCCGGAGAGUAGCAUCACCUAGCCACGCAUCCUUCGAGAAUCUAAUUUCCAAGUCAUCCUUAACUCAGAAGGAACCAUAGUGGAAGAAAUAUUUCUUCAUUACCAUUAGUCCCGACCAAAAGUGAGACUCCCUAGGCUUCCAAUAUACUUGGGAUACCGCCUUUGAACCCACAUAUUUUCUCCUUAGGAGGGUUUGCCAUACACCAUCUUCGGUCAACAAUUUAAACAUCCAUUUGCUGAGGACGUCCCUAUUCUUAACAUCAAGGUCAUGAAUUCCCAACCCGCCUUGGUCAUUGAGACGGCAAACCACACUCCAUUUAGCCAGCCGAUAUUUAUUUCUCUUGCUAUCUCCUUACCAAAAUAAUCUCGAUCGGAAGUAGUCCGAUCUAUGUAAUACUCCUUUUGACAAGUGGAAGAAGGAAGUCAUAUAUAGUACCAUGUUACUUAGUACUGAGUUUAUGAGAACCAACCUUCCACCCAAAGAUAGUAUUUUACCUUUCCAACUACUAAGUCUUUUUUGUAGUCUCUCCCCGAGUGUUUCCAUUCAACGUUUGUGAGUCUCUGAUAAUGUAUCGGUAUCCCCAAAUAAGUGAGCAGAAACUAGCCCAACCCGCAUCCGAACAAGUCAUCAUAUAGAUGGGCCUCAUCUUGAGCCUCGCCAAAACAAAACAAUUCACUUUUAUGGAAAUUUAUCUUAAGCCCCGAGAGUUGCUUGAAUGCUGAUAAAAUUAAUUUCAGAUUUCUUGCUUUUCUCGAGGUCAUGAUCCAUAAAAAUAAUUGUAUAGUCAGCAUAUUGAAGGAUAGAGAGGCCACCAUCCACUACUCCAUCAAUCUGUCCAUCAACCUUGUCUCGCUCAAUCAUAAUGGCUAACAUAUCCGCCACUAUAUUGAAUAGCAUGGGCGAUAUUGGGCCACCUUGUUGCAAACAUUUCUUUAUUUGGAAAUAGUUGCCAAUGUCAUCAUUGAAUUUAAUGCCAACACUACCUCGAGUCACGAAACUAUGGAUCAUAUUGCGCCACUUUGUAAAAAAUCCUUCCAUUCUGAGAGUCUGUUGAAGAAAAGGCCACUUGACUUUGUCAUAAGCCUUUUCAAAGUCGAUUUUAAGAACCACCCCAUUCAGUGUUUUCGAUGCAACCCGUGAACUGUUUUGUGAAGGACAAUAACCCCAUCUAGGAUGUUUGUACCUUGCAUAAAGGUAGUUUGAGAAGGACGAGCCACAAGUUCAGCAAGAAUAGCCUAAUUAUUGCUACCUUAGUGAAGAUUUUAAAACUAACAUUAAGGAGGCAGAUUGGACAAUAUUGUUAUAUCCUUUCAACCUCAUUAACCUUAGGUUAUCAUAUAAUUUCACCAAAGUUUAAGCAAAACAACUCGAGUUGGCUAACGUGAAGGCAGCGCCAAACAGGAGUAGGAGAUCCUUCUUGAUGACCUCCCAAAAGUUCUGGUAGAACUCAGUGGGAAAACCACCUCGACCCGAUGCUUUGUUAUGUUCCAUUAGAAAAACCACCUUUCUAACUAUCCCCUCGAAAAAUGGAGCUGUUAGAAGGCUAUAUUCGAUACGUCCAAAAUGCAUCACUAUUUUGUAUCAUAAUUCGUCUCUAUUCAUUGAUAUAUUUCACAUUAUGAUGAUGUACUUAUAGUGUUUUGGCUUAUUUUACACAGUUUACAACUUUUCGGUGCCGAAACAGCACACGCAGGAUUCAGCGGAGAAAAUAGCACGAAGAGUUACCAUAUCAGAACAUCUCCGAUUGCGUUGAAAUUUACGGGGAAGGAGUUUCCGAACAGAUCACGAAGACGGGCCGAAGAAGUGCCCGUCUAGGUGGUGGGUCCAACCUCCGGUGCUCUCCUUUGGCCUAUAUGAUCCCCGUGACCUAAAAGUUACGGGGAAAGAAGUUUUUCCGGAGUUACGCCACCUCUCCGGGGCGAAAACCUACAGAGAAGAAAAGACCUUUCCGGCGGGCACAUUCCGCCGGGGAGAACUCCUCCCGGAGGGGGAGAUCGUCAUCAUCAUCAUCACCAUUGUCACGGGCAUCAUCGAGAUCAUCAUCACCAUCACCAUCACCCUCAACACGAGCACCAUCUCCAUCUUCACCCCAUCUUACUUUACCAUUGCAAUCGGAUACCUUGCACUAUUCAUCCCCUCUACUCUACCGGUGUUGAUUACUCUUUUGUGGUGAAUGCUAUUGAGUUUUGUUGGAGAGUUAUUGUUAUGACCAGAUUGUUCAUCAUAUUUUCAUCACCUCUGAUCAUGAUCUCUUUUAUGUCUUGUGAGUAGUUGCUUUAGUUCUUGAGGACAUGGGAGAAGUCUAAUUGCUAGUAGUCAUAUGAUGUUGAAGUAAUAUGUGUUGAUUGAUAUUUAAGUUAUGGUGUUAUUCUUCUAGUGGUGUUAUGUGAAUGUCGACUACAUAACACUUCGCCUUUUUAAGGACCUAGGGGAAUGCAUCGUGUAUAAAGAAUUCUUAUGGUGGGUUGCCGGAGUGAAAGAAACAUGAACCCCAUUUCACAUACUUUUGCAUGAGGGAGCAUUGGAUUCUAAAGCUUAUUGCUAUGGUUAGGCUUUGCCUUAAUUUCUGUCUUGUAUUUGCGGACGCUUGCAAGAGGGAUUAAUCAUAAGAGUGUACUUGUCUUAGCCUAGACGGUGAACUAGUUAGGAUCCACCCACAUAACACUUAUCAAUACAAAACAUAGUACUAGGCAGAAUAUGGUGAAAACACUUGACUAUCUCUCCCGUGUGUCCUCAGGAACGCCUUAGUCUUUAUAGUUUUAGUCCCUCAGCUUAUCCUUUGUGUUCAAAAGGAUUGGGCCACUUGCUGCACCUCAGCACCAUUUAAUUUCCAUGCAUUUAUUUCCUUGUUGCUUAUACCAGAAAACCCAUAAAAAGUUACCUUUGAGUACUUGCAGUUAUUCCUUGCUCAAGAUUGCUUGUCAGUACCUUCUGCUCCUCGUUGGGUUCGACACUCCUACUUAUCUAAAAGGCUACGAUAGAUCCCCUACACUUGUGGGUCAUCAAGACCAUUUUCUGGCACCGUUGUCGGGGAGUGUAGCGCUAUUGGUAAGCGAAAUUGGUAAGGAAACCUUUACGCUAUACGUGCUAUUUUUAUUUUACUAUUUCUGCCUUUUGUCCCUAUGGACAACUCUUCUCUUGGUUUGUUGCUUGUGGGGAACCGCCCCAACGCUAUUGUGGUGUACAAGCCUCCACCACCUACUGAAAUUGUGCCCCUUAAAAUACCAACUUGUAUUAUUGAUUGUGUCUUGGCUAAUCGAUAUGCAGGAGAUAGACAUCCGGGUGAACACUUGCUAUAUCUUUCACAACUAUGCUCCUUAUUCAAGCUUGCAGGUAUAACGAUGGAUUUUGUUAUGAGAAAGCUAUUUUCUCUAUCAUUAAAAGAUAAGUCUUUGGAUUGGUAUAGGCUUCUCGAUAACUCUCAUUUACUAAAUAGGGAAGAUCCUAUGCCUCUCUUUUAUGCAAAAUUUUAUCCUCUUCAUGAAAUACAUCGAGACAGGAACUAUAUUUAUAACUUUUGGUCUUGUGACGAAGAAAGCAUCGCUCAAGCUUGGGGAUAUUGAAGUCCCUAAUGCUCAAAUGUCCCAAUCAUGAGCUCUCCAAGGAAAUUAUUCUUACAAAUUUUUAUGGAAGGCUUUCUCUUCAAGAUAAAGAGAUGCUCGAUCCUUCCUCUAGUGGGGCAUUCUCCAACAAAAGCACUGAAUCUAAGUGGGAUCUUAUUGAAAGGAUCGAGAAGAACACUGAAGAUAGGGAGAUUGAUAAAGUAUUGAACCAGUUAUAAAUUAUGAGCAUGAUUACAUUGAGAGCUAUGUGGAAACUGAUUACUUCAAUACCUUUUGUGCUAAGAUUGGUAUUGAUUCCCAGCUUCUAAUUGAUUUUUGCAAAGACUUUGCCUCUCAUAUUGACUCUUCUAAGAAGAGGGAGGAUCAACACCAUAAACCUUUUAAGGAUUUACCUAUUGAUAUGAAUGUUGUUGAUCUUAUCUUGUGUGCAGUUUUAUAUGAAAAGCCCCCUUUUCCCAUCGGGAUGAGGGAUCAUUCUUUUGUCACACACAUACUGAAUAAAAGUGAAAGAACAACUGAUGAGCAUGAGGACCUGAUUAAGGUCGAUCCUCAAGUUGGAUUAGUCAAAGAUCUUGUUACUAGUAAUAUUGAGGAUUCCAAUAUAAAUUUUGUGUUGUUUCUACUAACCUUGUUACAGCCAAGAAUAAAUGCCCAAUUUCAGGUACUCCAGUUGUAUCUAUUAAAAUAGGAGAUCAUAAUUAUUACGGGCUAUGUGAUUUGGGAUCUAGUGCUAGUGCUAUUCCUUUUUCACUUUAUCAAGAGAUCAUGAAUGAGAUUCUACCAUGUGAAAUUGAAAACGUUGAUGUUACUAUUCAUCUUGCAAACAAAGAAACUAUCUCUCCUAUUGGAGUUGUGCGAGAUGUUGAAGUCCUAUGUGGAAAGGUAAAAUAUCAUACCGACUUUCUAGUACUUUGUUCAGUGCAAGAUAGUUUUUGCCCUAUUAUCUUUGGUAGGCCUUUUCUCAAAACUUGUGGAGCUAUUAUAGAUUGCAGGAAAGGAAAAUUAUUUGUUGAAUUUAAUGGUGAUCCAUAUCAAUUUAACUUUUCUAAAUUCUUGAAGAAAACUCAUGGUACUGAUUUGACUAGUAAUGAUAAAAUUAUUGAAGAGAUUGAUUCUAUUGCUAUUCCUCCUAACGAUCCUUUGCAGAAAUUUAUGGAGGACCACGAGAAUGAUAUGCAUAUGCAGGAAAGGAAUGAGCUAGAUGACAUAUUCUUGAGAUAACCUGCUAUCCUUAAGCACAACCUUUCGGUUGAGCCUUUGGGAAUUUUAUUGAAACCAAAAGAAGACCCGGUGUUUGAUCUUAACCUCUUCCCAGCACGCUCAAGUAUGCUUAUUUAGAUGAAAAGAAAGUAUAUCCUGUUAUUAUCAAUUCUAACCUUUCAGGAUAUGAAGAAGAGCGAUUAUUGGAAGUCCUUCGUAAACACCGAGGCGCUAUUGGCUAUACCCUUGAUGAUCUUAAGGUGAUUAGUCCAUCUAUUUGUCAGCAUACUAUCAAUCUUGAGCCUGAUGCUAAACCGGUUGUUGAUCAUUGAUAUGUCUACAUCGUAUCUACUUUUCCAAACUCUUUUGCCCUUGUUUUGGACUCUAAUUUGCAUGAUUUGAAUGGAACUAACCCGGACUAACGGUUUUCAGUAGAAUUGCCAUGGUGUUGGCGCAGAAAUAAAAGUUCUCGGAAUGACCUGGAAACUUACGAGGAUUUUUGUGAAAUAUAUAAAAAAUAUUGGCGCAAGAAUCAACUGGAGGCGUGGAGCGAGGAGCGCACAAUCCCAGGAGGCGCGGCCCCCCCUGGCCGCGCCUAACAGGCUUGUGGGGCCCUCGGGGCUCUGCCGCCACCAACUCCAGCUCUAUUUNNNNNNNNNNNNNNNNNNNNNNNNNNNNNNNNNNNNNNNNNNNNNNNNNNNNNNNNNNNNNNNNNNNNNNNNNNNNNNNNNNNNNNNNNNNNNNNNNNNNNNNNNNNNNNNNNNNNNNNNNNUUUCAGAUGUGAACCUAUUAUGUUCUCGUCAAUAUAUGUGUGUUCUCGAUCCUAUCUUGCAAGUUGUAGUCACCUACUAUGUGUUAUGACCCGGCAACCCCGGAGUGACAAUAGCCGGAACCACUCCCGGAGAUGACCAUAGUAUGAGGAGUUCAUGUAUUCACUAAGUGCUAAUGUGUUGUUUCGGUUCUCUAUUAAAAGGAGAACCUUAAUAUCCCGUAGUUUCUAUUAGGACCCCGCUGCCACGGGAGGGAUGGACAAUAGAUGUCAUGCAAGUUCUUUUCAUAAGCACGUAUGACUAUAUACGGAAUGCAUGCCUACAUUACAUUGNNNNNNNNGGAUGAGAUCUAUCAUGUAAUCGAGUUAGUUUUGAUGGGGAUCGAUCCCUAGUAUCCACUAUGUUCUGAAAUUGAUGUUGCUACCACUUUGCCAUGCUUAAUGCUUGUCACUAGGGCCCGAUUGCCAUGAUUUCAGAUGUGAACCUAUNAUGCCUACAUUACAUUGAUGAACUGGAGCUAGUUACAUAUCUCCCCAUGUUAUAACUGUUGCAUGAUGAAUGUCAUCCGGCAUAAUUAUCCAUCACUGAUCCAAUGCCUAAGAGUUUUUCCUACUUGUCCUUGCGAUGUUACUUUGCUGCUACUGUUGUCACUUCUACUACUGUUACUGCUACUGCUGUCACUGUUGCUACUGUUACCGUUGCUACUGUUGCUAUCACACCACUUUGCUACUGAUACUUUGCUGCAGAUACUAAGUCUUUCAGGUGUGGUUGAAUUGACAACUCAACUGCUAAUACUCGAGAAUAUUCUUUUGCUUCCCCUUGUGUCGAAUCAACAAAUUUGGGUUGAAUACUCUACCCUCGAAAACUGUUGCGAUCCCCUAUACUUGUGGGUUAUCAAGACUAUUUUUUGGCGCCGUUGCCGGGGAGGCCUAGCUCUAUUCUCUGAGUCACUUGGGAUUUACGUCUGCUGAUCACUAUGAGGAAUCCGAGAGAUCCAAAACUAAAGUCUUGCCCUCAACUACAAAGACAGGUAAGGAACUGCCAUCUAGCUCUGCACUUGAUUCAUCUUCAGUUAUGAGUAAGUUUGCGACACCACCUUCUGCUAGAAAUUUUGAUGUGUCGCCUAUGAUUGAUGAUGCUACUUCUUCUAUCCAUGAUGCUUGUGAUGAUGCAUUGCUUGAUACUGCUUUGCCACUAGGUGCAUUCCUAGAUGCACAAAUUGCUAGAGUUGCUGCUGAAUGUGAUGAUACUUCUGAAACUGCUGAGAUUAUUGAAGUAGAACCUGCUAUUUCCCCUGUUAGAACUAGCUCUCCUAGAUAUGAAUUGCCUGAUAUACCCGAGGAUUGUGUUAUGGAGGGAGAGAUAGCUGAGGACUUUCUUGCUUGUAAGGAUAGCUAUGAUCUUGAGAAAUUACUGCGUAAGUGGAAAGAAAAAUCUUUGAACGCUAGGAUGAAAUACGACCCAAAGUUUGCUACUUCGCCUAUCUUUGUGACCGAUAAGGAUUAUGAAUUCUCUGUCGAUCCUCAGUUAAUCACUUUGGUUGAAUCUGAUCCUUUUCAUGGUUAUGAGUCUGAAACGGUUGUAGCACAUCUUACUAAGUUGCACGAUAUAGCCACCCUAUUCAGGAUUGAGGAAAAGAUCCGCCACUACUAUAUCCUGAAGCUGUUUCCUUUCUCGCUAAAGGAUGAUGCUAAGACUUGGUUCACUUCUCUUGCUCCUGGUUGUGUGCGUAGUCCCCAGGAUAUGAUCUACUAGUUCUCUGAGAAAUAUUUUCCUGCCCAUAAGAAACAAGCUGCCUUGCAGGAAAUAUAUAACUUUGCACAAGUUGAAGAAGAGAGUCUCCCACAAGCUUGGGGGAAGGUUGUCCAGCUACUGAAGGCUUUGCCUGAUCACCCUCUUGAGAAGAAUGAAAUACUUGAUAUCUUCUAUAAUGGACUAACCGAUGCUUCUAGGGACCACCUAGAUAGUUUUGCUAGUUGUGUUUUUAGGGAACGAACUGUGGAACAAGCUGAGAUUCUAUUGAAUAAUAUCUUGUGCAAUGAGAAUGCUUGGACUAUUCCCGAACCACCUCCGAAGCCAACUCCGAAGAAAAGAGGUAUUCUAUUCCUCAGUCCUGAAGAUAUGCAAGAAGCUAAGAAAUCUAUGAAAGAGAAAGGCAUUAAAUCUGAAGAUGUCAAAAAUCUACCACCUAUCGAAGAGAUCCAUGGUCUUGAUAACCCGACACAGGUAGUAGAGGUAAAUUCUUUUCGUAGAUUCAAUGAGAGUGAUAUUCCUUUUCAUAAACCUGCUAGUUUAUGCCUGGAUGAAUUUGAUAAGUUUGUUGCCAAACAACAAAGUUUCAAUGAUUAUGUUAGCAGACAAUUGGAACAGAAUGCUCGUAUGCUUAGUCAUUUAAGUGCUUGUGUGGCCAGAAACGUCAAUGAUCUUAAGAUUUUGAGUAAACAUGCCUCUAUGGUUACUACUAAAGUAGAACAAGUACUUAAAGCUCAAAAUGACUUGCUCAAUGAGUUGAAUGACAAUUCUGUCACAGUCGUCACUAGAGGUGGUAGAAUGACCCAGGAACCUUUGUAUCGUGAGGGUCAUCCUAAGAGAACUGAACAAGAUUCUCAAGGAGUUAGCACUGAUGCACCUAGUCAUCCUAGGAAGAAAAAGAAAGAUGAUAGGAACUUGCAUGCUAGCAACCCUGUUGCUGUUACACCCGAGAAUCCAAACGAUAUCUCUGUUUUUGAUGCUGAAACACAAUCUGGUGAUGUACAUGAGCCUAAUGAUAAUAUCGAUAGUGGUGUUCAUGAUGAUGCUCAACCUAGCAAUGAUAAGGAUGUGGAGAUUGAACCUAUUGAUCUUGAUAACCCACAACCUAAGAAUAGGAGAUACGAUAAGAACGAAUUCAUUGCUAGGAAGCAUGGUAAAGAAAGGGAACCAUGGGUUCAGAAACCCAUGCCCUUUACUCCCAAACCAUCCAAGAAAAAGGAUGAUGAGGAUUUUGAGCGAUUUGUUGAAAUGAUUAGACAUGUCUUUCUGCAAAUGCGUUUGAUAGAUAUGCUCAAAAUGUCUCCUUAUGCUAAGUAUAUGAAGGAUAUUGUGACUAAUAAGAGGAGGAUACCUGAGGUUGAGAUUUCCACCAUGCUCGCUAAUUACACCUUCAAGGGUGGAACUCCUAAGAAACUAGGUGAUCCCGGAGUGCCCACUAUACCUUGCUCCAUUAAAGGAAACUACGUUAGAACUGCUUUAUGCGACCUUGGAGCCGGUGUUAGUGUUAUGCCUCUCUCUCUUUAUCGUAGACUUGAAUCGGACAAGUUGACACCCACUGAAAUCUCUCUACAAAUGGCCGACAAAUCAACUGCUUUCCCUAUCGGCAUUUGCGAGGAUGUGCCUGUUGUGGUUGCUAACGUUACUAUCUUAACGGACUUUGUUAUUCUGGAUAUUCCUGAGGAUGAUGCCAUGGCGGUCAUCCUUGGAAGACCCUUUUUAAACACUGCAUGGGUUGUUAUUGAUUGCAACAAAGGCAAUGUCACUUUCCAUGUCAAUGGUAAUGAGCAUACGGUGCACUUUCCGAAGAAACAAUAUCGAGCACAUUGCAUCAAUGCUAUUGAAAAAACUUCAUCGAUUCUUAUUGGGAACUUUGAAUGCCCUAUACCUACUGUUAAGAUGAAGUAUGAUUUGCUUGUUGGGGAUAUGCACAUCCCCAUUGAGGUAACCUAGUGACUAUUAGAAAAAUCCUGCGGUUUUAUGCGAUUCGAAAAAGUUUGUCAAGGAGACUUGAUCAACCUCAUUGACAGAUUUCUUUUGAUGAACAUGAGAUGGAUGAAUCUAGGAGUCACAACCCUAUGUUCCAAACCUUUACCUUCGGUUGCUUAGAAUAAAAAUGAUAGAUUUAGCUUUAGUUUUUCCUGUUUUCUGCUUUUUGCAUCCCAUAGAAAAGUGUCCCAAAAAUAAAAGUUCUUCAAAUGCCCUGAAAAUCAAGUAUCAUUUUUUUUGGAAUUUUUGAAAAAUUCUGAGACGGAGAGCUAGUCAGGGGGAUGCACUAGUGGGCCAUAAGCCCGGGAGGCGUGGGCACCCCCCUGGCCGAGCCUACCAGGCUUGUGGGGCCCACGUGUCCCCCCUCCACUUAUUCUAGCUCCCAUCUCCUUCUCCUACCUCCAGAAAAAUUCAUUCUAUAGCUCAAACCCGUGUUCUUGCUCUUCUUGCUACGAUUUUCGAUCUCCUUGUGCAAAGCCCCAUUCACCAAACUGUUUUGGGGAAAUUGUUCCUUGGUAUGUGACUCCUCCAUUGGUCCAAUUAGUUUUCGCUCUAGUGCCUUGUUCGUUGCGUAUUUUUGCUGCCUUGGUGACCCUGUUCUUGAGCUUUGCAUGCUAAUUCUAGCUGGUCCCAAGUGGUUUUGAUGCAUGAUAUGACCUCUAGGCACUUGUCAGAGUAGUUGCUAUGAGUUUCGUUGAGCCUUGUUCACUUUUCCUUUGAGUCACUAAAAAUUUCAGAAAUUUUCAAAGAAAUAAAAAGGAAAAGAUGAGGAGGUUCCUAAGAGGCUCUUCAAGCCGUGACCCCAAGGAUGAUGAGAAUGAGAAGAAGAAACCCAAGUAUCCGGUCCCUCGAGUUGCAGAAGUUCGAGCGUGCGAGUGGCCAAGCAAUGUGUUCUUACGUGCCGCCGGUCUUUAUGAAGAUUUUUAUUACUUGGUGGAGAACGCAGGCCUUACCGCAUUUGCUGAAGAUAAGUGUCCACAACACCUCCUCCUCACUAAUAUUUUCGUGCAAAGCUUUAACUUCUAUCCUAGGAAGAGUCCUCCUAUGGUUGAGUUCAAGUUAUAUGAUAUCCCCCAGCGCAUGUCACUUCAGGAUUUUUGCAAUGUUUGCAAAUUACCUUAUGUUGGGGAUAUUCAUGAACCUCGUCCACGGGACUUGGAGGCUUUCAUUGAUACUAUUGUUGUAGGAUAGGAGAGAGGAGUGUCUUACGCUAGAGCUGCUAGCAUACAUUUUCCCGUGCUUCGAUACUUCUCAUUAUUCAUGGGAAAAUGUUUGAGUGGCCGUGGGAAAGCUGGGGCCCUUAGCUCCCCAGAUCUUGCGGUUUUGCGCGCAGCCCUUUAUAAUGAUAAAACUUAUAGCUUGGGCGUUAUAGUGGCUCAACGGUUGAACACGAACCUUUCUAAAGGCGUUGUUUAUGGAGGUAUCUAUGCUACCCGUCUUGCUAGACAUUUUGAGAUACCUAUUGGACUGCACGAGGAAGAAGAGAUUCUUCUUCCUGAGAGAUAUCUAGAUUAUGAUAGCAUGGUUCUCCAUGACUUUCUUGAUAAAGAUAUAAAUAAGAGGAUGAUUUAUAACCUGGUAUUUAGUCAGGGUACUCGUGAGACUAUUACCUUGCCUUCUCCUUCUUUGUUCAAUCUUCAUCUAGGCAGUUACAUUAUAAUGCCCUCGGACAUCUACGCAUAUUGGGGCAUAGCACCACCACAGGCGCCCGUGCCCGAGCUACCAGUCGAGUACCAGACGCCAGUUUAUCAGUGGGAGCCAGAGGAGCUCACACAGCAGUGGCACCCUCAAUACACUCCGGAGUACCCCGGAGACGGUUAUUUCCCUCCUUGGGAGUAGACCAACUUAGGCCAAAAGCCUAAGCUUGGGGGAGUACGUGUUUCUCAUUGACUUUAUAUUCUUGCUUACACUUUCACUUUGUUAGUCGGUUUUCACACCUUGCCACUGUAUCAUCCAUGCUAGUUUGUUUCUUUUUCUCGCUUUCUUCUCGUGUGUUUGUCUAGUUUGAGAAAACCCAAAAAGAUUUCUCGUUCUUCUUUUGCUUGUUGGGAGCUUUCCCAUGUAAAUAGUUUUCUUUUUCUUUGGGUAAAGGUAGAAGACCAUGAUUACAAUGUUUAGUGGCUCUCGCAUGCAUAUCUGUUUAUCUGUCAAAGAGCCAACUACUUUGUCUUCUUUGUGUUUGCUUGAAGAUUCCAGCUUAGUCCAAUGCACAAACACUCUUAUUAUUGUCCACAUCAUUCGGUCGUGCAAGUGAAAGGCAAUAAUGACGAUAUAUGAUGAAGUGACUGAGCCUGGAAAAGCUGGUAUGAAUUUGAUCUAUUUUGUUUUUGUAAAUAUGACUAGCUCAUCGUUCCUAAUUCAGUUUUGUUGUGAGAGAAACAUGUUUGCAAUGACAACUUAGAGAUCAUAGUUUCUGAUGCCAUGCUUAAUUAGCUAGGAGCUUAUAAUGGUUUGUCUUGGAUUCCAACAUGAAUUUUGAGAUGAUUAUGAUGUAGUAUGAUAGGAUGGUAUCCUCCUUUGAAUGAUUCAAGUGGCUUGACUUGGCGCAUGUUUACGCAUGUAGUUGAAACAAAAUCAACAUAGCCUGUAUGAUAUUCAUGUUUAUGGUGAUUUAUGUCCUACUCAUGCUUUCACUCUAUGUUGGUUAAUCUCAAUGCAUAUUGAUGACUGUUGUCGCUCUCUAGUUGGUCGCUUCCCAGUCUUUUGCUAGCCUUCACUUGUACUAAGCGGAAAUACCGCUUGUGCAUCCACUUCCAUAAACCCAAAGUUGUUCCAUAUGAGUCCACCAUACCUACCUAUAUGCGGUAUCUACCUGCCGUUCCAAGUAAAUUUGCAUAUGCCACUCUCUAAACCUUCAAGUAAUAAUCUGUUUUGCAUGCCCGAAACGCUCAUGUGGUGACAAGGGGCGGUCAGUAUCUUCCAUGCUAGGCAUGUUAUCCUCGAUAUGUGUUUAUUCACUAUCACUCACGAGAAAGGGGCCGAUAAUUGGAAUGCCCAGUUCCAUGCUCAAAUCGAAAAGAUAAGUGCAAACAAGACCCCCCUAGAUUGUUGUUGGUAUGGACGGCACCCGAGUAUUCGGCUAGUCGUGGAGUGUGAUUGAUCGGCGGUGGGGGAGUCAAAACUUUACUUUUCUGUUUGGGAACCGCCUAUGGCAUGUGUAGCAUGGAAGAUGGUGAAAACUCUUGGUCAUUGUGUUGACAAUGAAAGCAUGCCCCCCAAAAUUAUUUAUCUCUGUCUUCAAAGCUUGAGCUCUGGCACCUCUGCAAAUCAAUGCUUCCCUCUGCGAAGGGCCUAUCUAUUUAUGUUUCUAUUGAGUCAUCCUCUUCUUAUAAAAGCACCAAUUAGAGAGAACCUCCGUCAUUUCUAUGCUUUCCUUUUAAUUGAUAUUGAGUAUGACUGUGACUGGAUCUUCUUUGCCAUGAAUUACAAUGUUCAGUCAGCCCUUGGUCUUUGAAGGUGCUCUGCAUUUAUGUUUUGCAGUCUCAGAAAGAGCUAGCGAGAUACCAUCUGUUCAUACUGCUUCAUGAUUGUGUUGAUUGAAGUGUUGACGUUCGAAACUCGUUAUUAUUGCUCGCUAGUUGAUUAUGCCAUUGAUAUGAGUUCCUCUUGAGACCUAAAUGCCAUUGCUUGUGUGGUUAGCUUAUGAUCUUGCUGAAAAUCUGAAUAUGAGUUAGACAUAAUUACAGCAACAAGAUCAAACAGAGUUCGUAAAAGUUUUUCUUUUGUCUCUUUCGGUUUGUCAACUGAAUUGCUUGAGGACAAGCAAGGCUUUAAGCUUGGAGGAGUUGAUACGUCUUCAUCGUAUCUACUUUUCCAAACUCUUUUGCCCUUGUUUUGGACUCCAAUUUGCAUGAUUUGAAUGGAACUAACCCGGACUAAUGCUGUUUUCAGCAGAAUUGCCAUGGUGUUGUUUUUGCGCAGAAAUAAAAGUUCUUGGAAUAAACUGGAAAUUUACGAGGAUUUUUUGUGGAAUAUAUAAAAAAUAUUGGCGCAAGAAUCAACCGGAGGCGUGGAGCGAGGAGCCCACAAGCCCAGGAGGCGCGGGCCCCCUUGGCCGCGCCUAGUAGGCUUGUGGGGCCCUCGGGGCUCCGUCGCCUCCAACUCCAGCUCUAUUUAGUCCCUUUCAUCCGAAAAAAAUCAAGGAGAAGAGUUCAACGCGUUUUAUGAUACGGAGGCGCCGCCACCACCUGUUCUUCCUCUGGAGGGCGGAUCCGGAGUCCGUUCUGGGCUCCGGAGAGGGGAGUUCGUCGCCAUCGUCAUCACCAACCAUCCUUCAUCGCCAAUUCCAUGAUGCUCUUCACCGUUUGUGAGUAAUCUCAUCGUAGGCUUGCUGGACGGUGAUGGGUUGGAUGAGAUCUAUCAUGUAAUCGAGUUAGUUUUGAUGGGGAUAGAUCCCUAGUAUCCACUAUGUUCUGAAAUUGAUGUUUCUACCACUUUGCCAUGCUUAAUGCUUGUCACUAGGGCCCGAUUGCCAUGGUUUCAGAUGUGAACCUAUNAUGCCUACAUUACAUUGACGAACUGGAGCUAGUUACAUAUCUCCCCAUGUUAUAACUGUUGCAUGAUGAAUGUCAUCCGGCAUAAUUAUCCAUCACCGAUCCAAUGCCUAUGAUUUUUUCCUACUGGUCCUUGCUACGUUACUUUGCUGCUACUGUUGUCACUGCUUCUACUGUUACUGCUACUGUUGUCACUGUUGCUACUGUUAGUGUUGCUAGUGUCGUUAUCACACCACUUUGCUACUGAUACUUUGCUGCAGAUACUAAGUCUUUCAGGUGUGGUUGAAUUGACAACUCAACUGCUAAUACUCGAGAAUAUUCUUUUGCUUCCCCUUGUGUCGAAUAAACAAAUUUGGGUUGAAUACUCUACCCUCGAAAACUGUUGCGAUCCCCUAUACUUGUGGGUUAUCAAUCAUCGACGACGGUUCAACCCGAAGAUGAAGGAUGUUGUGAGGACUGAAAUCCUCAAGCUUGUAGCCACACGUAUUAUCUACCCUAUAGCUGGUAGUAAGUGGGUAAGUCCGGUACAUUAUGUUCCCAAGAAAGGAGGUACGACUAUGGUUCCUAAUGAUAAGAACGAACUAAUACCUCGAAGAAUUAUUAUUGGAUAUAGAAUGUGUAUUGAUUAUAGGAAGCUGAACAAGGCAACCAGGAAGGACCACUACCCGUUGUCGUUCAUCGACCAAAUGCUUGAAAGGUUAUCCAAAAACACUCACUUUUGCUAUCUUGAUGGGUAUUAUGGUUUCUCUCAAAUUCAUGUUAACACUGCCGAUGAAGAGAAGACCACUUUUACUUGUCCUUUUGGUACUUAUGCUUAUAGACGUAUGCCUUUUGGUUUAUGCAAUGCUCCUGCUACUUUUCAAAGGUGUAUGUCUGCUAUCUUUCAUGGUUUUUGUGAGGAAAUUGUGGAGGUCUUCAUGGACGAUUUCUCCGUCUAUGGAACCUCUUUUGACCAUUGUCUCCACAACCUUAAUAAAGUUUUGUAGAGAUGUGAGGAGACAAACUUGGUACUCAACUGGGCGAAGUGCCACUUCAUGGUCAAUGAGGGAAUUGUUCUUGGCCACAAGAUUUAUGAAACGGGAAUCAAGGUGGACACGACAAAGGUCGAAGCAAUCGAGAGGAUGCCUUAUCCAAAGGACAUCAGAGGUAUUCGUAGUUUCCUCGGUCAUGCUGGUUUCUAUAGAAGAAUUAUUAGACUUUUCUAAGACUUCGAAACCCCUCACUAAUCUUCUCCAAAAGGAUAUUCCUUUUGUGUUUGAUGAAUAUUUUAAGGAAGCCUUCGAAGUUCUUAAGAAAGCCUUGAUAACCGCCCCUAUAGUCCGACCACCUGAUUGGAAUUUGCCUUUUGAAAUCAUGUGUGAUGCUAGUGAUUUUGCUAUUGGAGCUGUGUUAGGACAAAGGGUUGAUAAGAAAUUGAAUGUUAUACAUUAUUCUAGCAAAACCCUUGAUAGUGCUCAAAAGAAUUACGCUACUACUGAGGAAGAAUUUUUAGCGGUAGUGUUUGCUUGUGAUAAGUUUAGGCCUUACAUUGUUGAUUCAAAAGUCAUUAUUCAUACUGAUCAUGCUGCUAUUAAGUAUCUUAUGGAAAAGAAGGAUGCCAAACCAAGGCUUAUCACAUGGGUCCUUCUUCUUCAAGAAUUUGAUUUGCAGAUUGGUGAUAGGAAGGGAGCAGACAACCAUGUAGCAAACAACCUUUCCAGGAUGGAGGACAUACCACAUGAUCCUAUUCCGGUCAACGAUAGUUUUCCUGAUGAACAGUUAGCUAUUUUGAAAGUACAAUCUAAUUCCAAUCCUUAGUAUGCAGAUUAUGCUAACUUUAUUGUUGCAAAGCUUUUUCCUCCAGGUUUAACAUUCCAGCAGAGGAAGAAGUUCUUCCACGACUUGAGGUACUACUUUUGGGAUGACCCACAUCUUUUUAGAGAAGGUGCGGAUAGGAUCGUGAGGAGAUGCAUACCGGUGCAUGAGCAGAAUGAUAUCUUGAGACAAUGUCAUAACAGUCCUUAUGGAGGACAUCAUGCGGGUGAGAGGACCACACACAAGGUUCUCCGGUCAGGUUUUUAUUGGCCUACUCUCUUUAAAGACGCUGUACAUUAUGUUUUAUAUUGUGAUAAGUGCUAGAGAGUUGGUAAUAUUAGUAGGAGGGAUGAGAUGCCUAUGAAUUAUUCUCUAGUCAUUGAGCCUUUUGAUUGUUGGGGUUUUGAUUUUAUGGGUCUUUUUCCUCCUUCACACAAAUACACUCACAUCUUAGUGGCCGUUGAUUAUGUGACCAAGUGGGUUGAAGCAAUCCCCACUGAAGGUGCUAAUCACAAGACAUCUUUGAAAAUGCUCAAGGAUGUAAUCUUUCCUAGAUUUGGUGUACCUAGGUACCCCAUGACCGACGGAGGAUCGCAUUUUACACAUGGUGCUUUUAGAAAAGCUCUAGCCAAAUAUGAUGUUAAUCAUAGAAUUUCUUCACCUUACCACCCUCAAACAAGUGGGCAAGUUGAGCUCACCAAUAGAGAGAUCAAGUUGAUCUUGCAAAAGAUAGUGAACAGUUCUAGAAAGGAUUGGUCCAAAAAGCUAGGAGAUGCCUUGUGGGCGUAUAGAUCUUCUUACAAAAAUCCCAUGGGGAUGUCUCCGUAUAAUAUGGUCUAUGGCAAGGCAUGCCAUCUACCUUUAGAGUUAGAGCACAAAGUUUUCUGAGCUGUUAGAGAGCUUAAAGCUGACCCAAAGCUUGCUGGUGAAAAGCGUCUCAUGAACUUGACUUCUCUAGAUGAGUGGAGAAGUGAAGCUUAAGAGAGCGCAAAAAUGUUCAAAGAAAAGGUAAAGAAGUGGCAUGACAAGAGAAUUUUGAAAUGUGAAGUUAAUGUUGGUGAUAAAUUUUUGUUGUAUAGAUAUCAUUUCAGGUUUUGUCCAAGUAAAUUACUUUCCAAGUGGGAAGGACCGUACCAUAUUGAAGAAGUCUACUACUCCGGUGCAAUCAAGAUUAAUAAUUUUGAGGGCACAAAACCACAUGUUGUGAAUGGGCAAAGACUCAAGCAUUACAUGGCUGGAGACCCCAUAAAUGUAGAGGUGGAUGUGAUACAGAUAGCCACUCAUGAAGAACAUAUUGCAACACUGUGCGAGACACCGACAGAAGCAUAAUAAGAGUAGGUAUGAAAUACAGUAAGGAAACUUCACGAACAUCAAUAAAAGUUCCGUAUUAUGUGUUUUUGCAAAAUUAGGAAAACUCCGAGCGGAAGUGGAGCCGGAGAGGAGCUCCAGGUGCUCCAAGCGACCUGGUGGCGCGGGCUACCUCCUGGCCGUGCCAGGAGGCUGCCUGGACCACCCGGAGUCCAUCUCCGAUCCCACUUUGGCUUGUUACCUUCCUUUUGAUGCAUAAAUUUUUUCUAUAUAUUCUCCCGGACCGUCCCGACUUUGUAUGUUGCAAUUCCGUGCGUUUCUCUUUCGAUCUUUUUUCUGCCAGGCUAAAAAGCUAUUGUUCAAGAUGUCUUAUUGCGACUAGAGCGGGGAAGACUACACGGGUCGUCGUCUCCGCCAUGUCCAGCAAGAUAUCAACCAAGGGAAGGUCACCUGAUGGGCUACUGAUGAAGAAAUUGCCGCAAGACAAGCGGGCAUGGAGUGCUUCGUGAGAGAGGAAGUCAAGAUGGUAACCACGCAGCAAGAAGGAGAUCCUUCAUCACGAGGAUCCAGUUCCAACAACCCCAUCCUUGUGGGGGUUAUUAACCCUUAACAUGAUCUUUCUCUAAACCUUUCAGAAACUGUCCCUCCACCGGGAGCUCCACUUGUGUCAUCUGCUACAUCCGAAGAUUACAGAAUCACUAAACAAUUAUGUGAAGACUUCCGUGUUCUUAAAGUACACGUGGCCAUAUUGGAAGCUGAAAACCAAACCCUUCGGCGCAUAAUAGCGGACUUGAAGAACAUCAAGUAGGAUGAAGAGUGAAAUCUUCAUGGCUAAUGGCAUUCCCUUAGCUUGCUCCAAGCUUGGGGGAGUGCCCGGUAUCUUUAUUUUUUAUCCUUUAUAUUUUAUGGUCAAGUUUAGUGUCGUAUCAUGUUUAGGGAAGUUAUCUUAUGAAAUAGGUGUUUGCAUUGAGGUCUAUCACUCCUUUGUGGAGAGUCUUGAACCCGUGAGUGUGCAGUUGUCUAUGAUGGAAUAUUAAUGAGAAGUCUAUUGGUUUCUUUGCUGCACAUGGUAUUCUCUUCAUGCAAUCAACCUUAUAUGCUCAUUCUUAUGGGAGUAUUGAUCUUAUAUAUCAGGUAUGCCUUCGAAAACUUUAUUUAAUCUUGGCAAACAUAACAUUGGUCAUAACAACAAGCAUGAGUUUUUCUAGUAGCGACAUAGCCAAAACCUUUAUGUUCUUAUGCUUGAAGUGUUAUGCUGACAAGGAAGACAACUUGAUGUUUUAUGCCAAUCCUUUAUGUUAAACCUUAUAUUGUUUUUCAUCCAAGUCAACAUUAUUUGUCUGCUCUCAAAAGCCUUUGCUAGCCAACCCUUAUACUAAGUGGGAAUACUGCUUGCGCAUCCAUACCUUGAAACCUCAACCUUCCCAAGAGUCCACCAUACCUUACCUUUAUGUGGUAUUUCACCCCUACUCCAAAAGUAUAUUACUCACGUGCUAUCUUUAAACCUUCAAAUAUUAAUCCCUGUUUUGUGCCUCUGUUUUAGCUCAUGAGGAAGUAGUAGAUAAUUCAUGAUCUUCCCGUACUGGACAAGUUUUAUCCUGGGUUUGCAUGUUUAAUCUGCGAACCCCUAAUACAAGAAGGAACUGGCAUGAGCACGCCCAGCUCGUAAAAGAUAAUAACAACAAACGAAACCUCCUUCACGCUUUGUUGAUGAGAAAUCAGAAAACUUUGGUAGUUAUAAACAAAGGAGACUAAGGGGAUGUGAUCGUCCCCUCUCUGGGAGCCGUUCCUCAAAACUUGUCUAGCAUGAGAAGUAUUGGGCUAUCUGCUAGCAUUCGUUGACAAAUUAUGCACCUCUCAAAAGCUUGUUUUACAAUCUUGUUGACUUCAAAACCUCUAAAAUCUCUAGCACAUGAGUUUUCCCUACUUCCCUCUGCGAAGGGCUAAUCUUUUAUUUUUAUGUUGUGUCAGUAAACCCACUUCUUUCUAUCCUAUAAAAGAGCAGACACUUUAUGUUGACAAAGAUUCAUGCAUUUAUAUUGUUUCAUUGAGAAUUGCCAUAUCACAACUUUGUUGAGAAUAUCAUUAAGAUGAGUAAGUUGUUUGUUAAGCCUAGCUAAAGCAAACAUCUUCCUUUGUGUUAGCAUUUUCACUUCUUGACUAAUAACAUGUUCUUUCAAAAAGCUUCAAUUGAUCUCAUUAAAAUAUAAGAGGAAGAGAAAAAGUAAAAGUUAUUAGUUGUCCUUUGACCAAGGACAUGUUUGCCAUGGUUUGAUGAAUUUCCUUAGCCCUACUUUUGAUUGCGAUUGAUAUUACUCUUUCAUAUGAGCCUUAUGAGUUGAGAUUGCUGUUGAGGAUGGAUGAGUUCAGUAGAGAAAUUAUGAUGCUUCUUGUCCGUAUUCUUAUUUAUCGACACUUCACUCUCUAAACUUGUGGACAGGUUUACCGAGCUCAGUAUUUGCUUGGGGACAAGCGAGGUCUAAGCUUGGGGGAAUUGAUACGUCCAAAAUACAUCACUAUUUUGUAUCAUAAUUCGUCUACAUUCAUUGAUAUAUUUCACAUUACGAUGAUGUACUUAUAGUGUUUUGGCUUAUUUUACACCGUUUACAACUUUCCGGUGCCGAAACAGCAAACACAGGAUUCAGCGGAGAAAAUAGCACGAAGAGUUACCAUAUCAUAACAUUUCCAACUGCGCUGAAAUUUACGGGGAAGGAGUUUCUGAACAGAUCACGAAGACAGACCGAAGAAGGGCCAGAGUGGGGCCACAGGGCACCCACGCGACCUGCUGGCACGGGCCACCCCUAGGCCACGCCCAAAGGCCGCCUGGGUGGUGGGUCCCGCCUCCGAUGCUCUCCUUUGGCAUAUAUGAUCCUCGUGACCUAAAAGUUACGGGUAUAAAAGUUUUUUCGGAGUUCCGCCGCUGCUCCGGGGAGGAAACCUACAAAGAAGAAAAGACCUUUCCGGCGGGCAGAUUCUGCCGGGUAGAACUCUUCCCGGAGAGGGAGAUCAUCAUCAUCGUCACGGGCAUCAUCGAGAUCAUCAUCACCAUCACCCUCAACACCAGCACCAACUCCAUCUUCACCUCAUCUUACUUUACCAUUGCAAUCGGAGUUGUACCCUGCACUAUUGAUGACCCACAAGUGUAGGGGAUCGCAAUAGUCUUCACGGGUAAGUUAACCCAAUUUAUUGAUUCAGCACAAGGGGAGCUAAAGAAUAUUUAUAAGCUUUAACAUCUGAGUUGUCAAUUCAACCGCACCUGAAAGAUACUUGCUUGGCAAUGAAAUAUUAGUAGCAACGGUGAUAUGGAAGUGAUGGUAGCAACAGAAAUAGUAGUGGCAAAGCAACGAAAGUAAAACAACAAAAGUAAAGCAACUCGUAACUAGCAUGAUUAAAAUAUUGUAGGCUAGGGAGAUGGGUGGCUGGUCAUGGAUGAGAGAUAUCAUGUAUUUAACUUGGGGCAAAGCACAUAGAAAAGUAAUGAUCAUCUAGGCAAAUUUAAAAAAUGAGGCAUGUAUCCCAAGGUAGUCGUGCGUCCUUGCAAUAAGAACUUGCACAACAUCUUUUCUCCUACCAUCCCGCUACCAACGGGGCCAAAAGGAACUUAUGGAGAUUAAGGUGCUCCUGUCAAAGAGCACCGGAACAAAGCAUUAACAAUCAUAUCCAUGGAAUCCUCAAACUAUAGUCUAUCCCCUUUGGUGUCCCAAGAUGUCACCAUUGGGAUCGCUGGUUCCGGACUAUACUAGGUCCAUACUACUCAUAUAUAGGAUCAAGGACACAAAUAUAUUCAUGAAAAAUAAGGUAUUCAGAUCUGAAAUCAUGGCACUCGGGCCCAAAGUGACAAGCAUUAAGAUUAACAAGUAGUAGCAAAGACGAUAAACACCAUAGUAGAUGAUAGGCAACAUGCCCCCAACAAUCCGACGAACUAUUACAUGAUCUAACUCAUCCAAUCCCUACCAUCCCCUUCACCUACAGCAGGGAAUUACUCACACAUGAUGGGGGAAUCCAUGGAAGGGUGAUGGAGUGGUGAUGGUGAUGACGAUGGCGACAAUUUCCCCUCUUCGGAGGCCAAAGCAGCCUCCAGAUUAGCUCUCCCGAAGAAGAACCGGGGGUGGCGGCGGACCCGCAUCGAGAACUUGCAAAACAACUUCUAUUCUGGGAUUUCCCUAUCACGGGUAAAAAUAGGAGGCAAAGUAGGGCACCGGAGGGGGUGGACCCCACCCAGGCGGCCUAACGGCGCGGCCAGGGGGCAGGCCACGCCCACAGGUCGCGUGGAGGCCAGGUGGCCCCCCUCUGGCCCAUCUUCUGGCCCAUGGUUCCUCCCGGUGCGUGGAUUUUCUCUGCACACAAGAAAACCAUACAGGCAGCUCUGCUGAAAACAACGUCAGUUCGGGUUAGUUCAAUUCAAAUCAUGCAAGAAUGAGGCCAAAACAAUAGCCAAAGUGUUUGGAAAAGUCGAUACGUUUGAGACGUAUCAACUCCCCCAUGCUAAGCAUUUUGCUUGUCUUCAAGCAAUUCAGUUCAACGAACUGGACGCGACAAAGAAAACUUUGACAAACUCUUUUGCUUCAUCAGAUGUAUAUAAGCAUGCACUACGAAUAAGUCCAACAAGUAUUGAAUUAAUGCUACAAAGACAAUGCACGAAGCAAUCCUUCAAUCAUGUGAAGAGUUUCAAACAACUAAGAAUGAAUAAUAUGCAACUAAAAAUCAUAACGAGAUCACAAUGCACAUGACUCGGACAUACUAGAGUGGUAUCUCUCAAGCCCCCAUGAGUGAAGCAAAACAUAAAUGCAGAUGCUCCUUAGAGUCUUAAAGGAGACUAGAAAUAAAUAUUUCAGAAUAAGUAAUAUCACAAUCAUGCAGAAGACAAUGUGGUACUUUGGGAGAAUGCACAUUACACUCAGAAUGACAAUUAUGCUCUCUAUAGUCGGUGCUUUUUAUAGGAAGAGGAUGACUCAACAGUAAAGUAAAAUAGAUAGGCCCUUCACCGAGGGAAGCAUUGAUUUGAAAAGGUGCCAGAACUUUGAGCUUUUAAAACAGAGAUAAAUCAAAUUUUUGGGUGGUAUGCUUUCAUUGUCAACGUAACAACUAAGAGAUCUCAAUAUCUUCCAUGCUAAAUACAUUAUAGGCGGUUCCCAAACAAAAAAGUAAAGUUUUUACUCCCCCUCCACCAAUCGAUCACACUCCACGGCGGGCCGAAUCCACGGGUACCGUCCAUACAAACAACAAUCCUCGGGGAGUUUUGUUUCAUUAAAUUUGAUUUGACUUUGAGCAUGGAACUGGGCAUCCCGGUUACCAUUCACUUUCUCGUGAAUGAUAGUGAAUCAACACAUAUCUUGAGAAUAACCUACUUAACAUGCAAGAUACUAACAGCCCCUAGUCACUACAUGAGCGGUUCGGGCAUACAGAACAAAAUAUUUAUUUGAAACUUUAGAAUAAAGCACAUGCAAAUUUACUUAGGACGACACAUAAAUACCGCAUAUAGGUAGGUAUGGUGGAGUCAUAUGGCACAACGGGUUUCAAGGAUUUUGGAUGCACAAGCAGUCAGUCCGCUUAGUACAGGCGAAGGCUAGCAAAAGGCGGGGAAGCGACCAACUAGAGAGCAAUAACGGUCAUAAUCAUGCAGAGCGACAAAGCAACAUUGAAUCGGGCAUGAAAGCGAUAUAAUUAUUCUGAAAUAAAAAUAUCAUCAAGGCUUUAUAGACUUCUAGUCAUAAACAUGUGUAAGCAUGUGCCAGGUCAAUCCAAAAACUCUCCGAAGGGAAAUACCACUUCAAUAUGCCAAACCAUGAACAAUGCAAUGCAUGCAAAUCAUUUCAAUAACACAUUAUGCACUCCAACUAUUUGAGACUAGUCACAAAGAAAGAAUGAACUACUGGGAAAGCAUUGUAGACAUAACACUAUCUCGCUACAAGCCGUUCUCUAAAUCAUAAGUACAAGCAUAUGUACAAAAGUUGAAACAAUUUGAGUUCAUACCGGCUUUCCUUGUUGCAUCCCUUUCAUCGAUCUUCAUCAUUAUUGCAUCAUCACUUGCACGAUCGAACGUAGAAAGAUAUAAUGAAGUCAAUUGCAACCAUGGACGUGAGAUGAACUCUACAAACAAAGCAAACUAAAGAGAGAAAAGAAAUAUUUUUGGGUUUUCCAAAGGUUAACCGAAAGCAAAAGAAACGAGAAAUCUUUUUGUUGUUUUUGCAAAGAAAGAACAAAGAAGAAUGGGCAAAUACUCCGAAAAGAUUAAAAAGGAAACCACAGAUGAUACAAUGAAAGGGGAGAAGGGUACAUACUCCCCCAAGCUUAGGCUUUUGGCCUAAGUUGAGCUGAUGCCCGGCUGGCCUUCCAAGAAGAAGGAUCUUCUUCCUCGGGAACAACCCCCUCCAUGGGGUUAUGGAAUUACUGCCGGAUCACGAACUCGUCCAGCUCAAUCGAGAUGAAGGACCAUCCGUUCCUGCUAGUGUAAUCAAACAAAAGUGGUGCAGGUAGACGGAUCUCGCGAGUAGUAAGCUCGCCAAACCUCAUAAUAUAAAUAAGGUUACCAAACUUAUAAGUCCUAGUAACAAACUCAUGCCUCUUCAUAGCAGUAAGAUCAAAGCUUAUGAAUAAAAAGGUGUAUCAUCCGUGCGUACAGUGCGCCCGAGGUGCUCGAGGAUAAGCGUGGCAUAAAUUCCACCAAACUGAGGCCCUUUUCCGCUAUUAGUGAUGAGGCGACGAGCAAUCAAAGCACCAAUAUUAUACGUGUUAUCUCCUAAGAGGGCGGCUGCCAAGAUAGCGAGAUCCGGAGCCGAAAUGUUGCUCGUGUUGUCAAGAGCUAACACCCCUUGAGCAAUAUAGUAUGCGAAAUACCUGAUGUGGGGAAACAAGAUGUUGGAGAUCUUCCCCCGGUGAAUGUCUCGCGGAUCCUUGCUGCAAAGGGAAGCGAAUAGGGGUUUCAGCUCGUAGGGCUGAACUUUCAUUUUGGUCGUCUUCCUGACAUUCCGCGCACCUAUAAUGUCACAAAAUUCUACCAAAGACAUGGUAAAAACAUGCUCAUAUAAUCUGAAUUCAAUCAUGGAAGUUUUAUCAUUAUAUCUAAACCAGUUGACAAAAUAAUAGGUGAGUUUUGGAUGUUGUUGCACACGUCGUAUUACGAGACGUGUUAAACCUGCAACUGCACAUAGGUUAUCACACUUUAUCCUUAAUACCUGCCGCCAUAAGGAAAUCUGAACACGGGUAUGCCAUGGCACGUGCCGUGUCCGUCUCGUGGAGCAACUCUGGUGGCACGAUAUCAUCACUGUAACUUGUCCUCAAAGUGGAAAAUGAAGCUGCAACUCUAGUUAGUCUGUCGGUAGGAUUAGGUCUCUUCUUCCCAAGCCAUCCUUUUGCUUUUCCAAACAAACUCAUUUCUGAAAUUUUUUAUGCAUAACAAAAAUGAAGGUUUAAGCAAAAAUGAGUUGGAGCAAACUAUUCUAUCCCUUCCCCGAUGCAUAAGCUUGCGUCAAAACUUCAUAAAUAAAUCCCUAAACAUGCAUGCAAGAUCAUAUGAACAACACCAAGAACUCCUAAAUACUCACAAAUAAGACUACCAAUCAAAAUUCGAAUUGGAGGAGUGGAGGAGUCACAUACCAAGGAGCAAACGCUCAAAUUCUCAAUGCAAAUGAUGGGUUGUAGAGAGAGAUCGAAAUUCGCCACCAAGAAUAGCAAGAAUUCGAGCUCCAGGAGAAAAAUCAGGAUUUUUGGAGUGAGAGAGAGAGAAGGGAGGAAGAAGUACCUGGAAAGGGGACCAGGUGGGCCCAGGCGACCUAUGGGCGCGACCAGGGGCCAGGCCGUGCCAGCUGGCCGCCUGGACCAGCGGUGCCCCCCCUGGUUGGCCCCAGGUGCCCGUGCCUCUCUUUUUCAAUGGAAAUUUUUAUUAUAGUUUUUCUGAAAUUUUUCGGACAACUUCACUUUUGAAAAAAAAUCGACGUACCGAAAGCUGCAAAACUUCCGGAAAGCUCGACACAAUGGUUAAACAUAUGAAGCUUUAAAAACAUAUAACUUUGGUACAAUGAUAUGUAUCCGACGUAUCUAUAAUUUUUUAUGGUUUCAUGCUAUUAUCUUGUCAAACUUUGGAUGUUUUGCAUGCUUUUUAUUUAUUUUCUGGGACUAACUUAUUAACUUAGUGCCAAGUGCCAGUUCCUGUUUUUUCCAUGUUUUUGACCCCUUUCAGAGGAGAUUUUGAAACGGAGUCCAAACGGAAGAAAAUCCCCGAAAAUAUAUUUUUUUGGAACGGAAGAAGAUCGAAGAACUUGGGAGCCAAGCCAGAAGAGCCCCAGGGGCCCCACAAGCCCCCACCCCGCGACCAGGGGGGCGCCAUCCAGGCUUGUGGCCCCCCUGGAGGUCCCCUAACCUAGAUCUUGCGCCUAUAUAUUCCCAAAUAUUCCCAAAAAAAUCAAGAGAUCAUCGCAAUCGCUUUUCUGUCGCCGCAAGCUUCUGUCUCCGCAAGAUCCCAUCUGGGGCACGUCCUGGUGCCCUGUUGGAGGGGGGAUUCGGACACGGAGGGCUUCUCCAUCAACACCAUGACCUCUCCGAUGAUGCGUGAGUAGUUCACCAUAGACCUACGAGUCCAUAGCUAGUAACUAGAUGACUUCUUCUCUCUCUUGGAUCUUCAAUACAAAGUUCUCCAUGAUCUUCAUGGAGAUCUAUCCGAUGUAAUCUUCUUUUGCGGUGUGUUUGUCGAGAUCCGAUGAAUUGUGGAUUUAUGAUCAGAUUUCUAUGAAUCUUAUUUGAGUUUCUUCUGAUCUCUGUUAUGCAUGAUUUCAUAUCCUUGUAAUUCUCUUCGAGUUGUGGGUUUCGUCUGGCCAACUAGAUCUAUGAUUCUUGCAAUGGGAGAAGUGCUUGGUUUUGGGUUCAUACCGUGCGGUGACCUCACCCAGUGACAAAAGGGGUAGCGAGGCACGCAUCGUGUUGUUGCCAUCAAGGGUAAAAACGUGGGGUUUUCAUCAUUGGUUUGAGAUUAUCCCUCUACAUCAUGUCAUCUUGCUUAAAGCGUUACUCUGUUCGUCAUGAACUCAAUACACUAGAUGCAUGCUGGAUAGCGGUUGAUGUGUGGAGUAAUAGUAGUAGAUGCAGAAAGUAUCGGUCUACUUGUCUCGGACGUGAUGCCUAUAUGCAUGAUCAUUGCCUUAGAUAUCGUAAUGACUUUGUGCGGUUCUAUCAAUUGCUCGACAGUAAUUUGUUCACCCACCGUGAUAUUUGCUAUUAUGAGAGAAGCUUCUAGUGAACACUAUGGCCCCCACGGUCUACUCCACACCAUAUUUUCAGCCUUACACUUUUUUACUUCGUUGCACUUUCCGCCUUCAGAUCUCACUUUGCAAACAAUCUUGAAGGGAUUGACAACCCCUUUGAAGCGUUGGGUGCAAGCUUGUUUGUGUUUGCGCAGGUACUUUGGACUUGACGAGGCCCUCCUUGUGGAUUGAUACCUUGGUUCUCAAACUGAGGGAAAUACUUACUGCUCCUGUGCUGCAUCACCCUUUCCUCUUCAAGGGAAAAACCAACGCAAACCAGAGAAGUAACAAGAAGAAUUCCUAAGCGCCAAGGAAGGACUUUUGUUGCCAUAGCAGAAGAAUUUAUGGCGCCGUUGCCGGGGAAGAAGAUCAAGUCAAGGACUCAUCCAAGUAGAUGUUACAAACUCAUCUCUUGCAUUUACUUUGUUUGCUAGUUGCCUCUCGUUUUCCGCUCCCCCACUUCACCAAUUUGCCUUUUUCAUUUGCCUUUUUCGUUCGCCCUUUCCUCUCGCUUGCUUUCUGUUCGCUUGUGUGCCAUGUGCCUUCAAUAUGCUUGCAUCUUUGCUUGCUGAAAAUCUAGUGAUAUGGAUCCUCAUCCACUUGCUAAUAUCUUUAAGAGAUCUAAUUAUGUUGAUGCAUUUGCUAGUGAGUUGAGUGCACUUGACUUUCUCUAUGGAGUUUUGCUUGAGAUGCGUGAAUCUAAAAAUUGUGAUGAAGAAAUUUAUGAAGUGAUUCACGAGGACUCCUUGAAUGAAAAGCAUGAUUGCAAUGGUUUCACUAUAAAUCCUAUUAGUGUCAAUCAUGCUAAAAAUAUGCAAAACCCUAUGCUUGGGGAUGCUAGUUUUGCUAUGUCCCCUACUUGUUGCAAUGAUCAUGAUUGGGGUGAUCAUUUUUAUUAUGAUCUUGAAUUUUUUUUAAGUGUAAUUAUGAGUAUGAUAUUGGCAACAAUAUUGAAAGUGGGAUUGGAGAAGUCAUGACUUUAUUUGAUGAUAAUCCCACUAUUUUUGAAGAGCGUCAACUUUGCAUACAUGUGUGUCAUGAAAAGAAUAUCCUUUGUGAUAGCUAUAUUGUUGAAUUUGAUUAUGAUCCCACAUGUAAUUGCUUUAAGAGAGGAAAAUAUUGUGGUAAAAACUUUCAUGUUACCAAAUUACCUCUCGUCAUGUUGAGAUUCAUAUUGUCUCUUUCUUCUUCCUUGCAUAUGGUAACUAUUGGUUGUCUUGACAAUCUAUUUUCCUAUAAAAUGCCUAUGCAUAGGAAGUAUGUUAGACUUAGAGGUGAUUUUGACAUGCUUCAUGAUGCUCUCACUGUGCUUCAAUUCUUGUCUUUUGUGUGAGCAUCAUUGAAUUAUCAAUGCCUAGCUAAGGGCGUUAAACAAUAGCGCUUGUUGGGAGGCAACCCAAUUAAUUUAUCUUUUUAUUUAUGUUUUGUUGCGUCCACACUUUCAUAAUUCUGUUGUGAUUGUGUUUUUGUGUUUCUUUUUGUGUUUGAGCCAAGCAAAACCUUUAUGACUAGUCUUGGUAAUGGUUGUUUGAUCCUGCUGGAGAAAGACAGAAACUUUUCGCUCACGAGAUGACUUUUCAUUUUUAUUAAGAAAGAGAUUUUGAGUUGAUUCUUUUUGCUGCUGAUUGAUAUGCUUUUUACCCAGGCCUUCGUAAUCUUUCAGAUUUUUUGAGGUACCAGAAGUAUACGAAGUAUACAGAUUGCUACAAACUGGUCUUUUUUUGACAGAUUCUGUUUUUGUUGAGUUGGUUGCUUGUUUUGAUGAAACUAUGGUUAGUAUCGGGGGGGUACUAGCCAUGGAAAAGUGAGAAUACAGUAGCCCAUCAUCAAUAUAGAUGGAAUUCAAGUUUGCUAGAGUACCAAAAGAAGUGGUAGUUUGUUUUCUUGUACUAAUGUUAUCACAAGUUUCUGUUUAAGUUUUGUGUUGU
rnacentral:lncRNA from 1 species